rnacentral:rRNA from 1 species
UGGGGAAUAUUGCACAAUGGGCGAAAGCCUGAUGCAGCAACGCCGCGUGAGUGAUGAAGGUCUUCGGAUUGUAAAGCUCUGUCUUUUGGGACGAUAAUGACGGUACCAAAGGAGGAAGCCACGGCUAACUACGUGCCAGCAGCCGCGGUAAUACGUAGGUGGCGAGCGUUGUCCGGAUUUACUGGGCGUAAAGGGUGCGUAGGCGGAUGUUUAAGUGAGAUGUGAAAUACCCGGGC